rnacentral:rRNA from 2 species
GGGACACGUGGUAUCCUGUCUGAAUAUGGGGGGACCAUCCUCCAAGGCUAAAUACUCCUGACUGACCGAUAGUGAACCAGUACCGUGAGGGAAAGGCGAAAAGAACCCCGGCGAGGGGAGUGAAAAAGAACCUGAAACCGUGUACGUACAAGCAGUGGGAGCACGCUUAGGCGUGUGACUGCGUACCUUUUGUAUAAUGGGUCAGCGACUUAUAUUCUGUAGCAAGGUUAACCGAAUAGGGGAGCCGAAGGGAAACCGAGUCUUAACUGGGCGUUAAGUUGCAGGGUAUAGACCCGAAACCCGGUGAUCUAGCCAUGGGCAGGUUGAAGGUUGGGUAACACUAACUGGAGGACCGAACCGACUAAUGUUGAAAAAUUAGCGGAUGACUUGUGGCUGGGGGUGAAAGGCCAAUCAAACCGGGAGAUAGCUGGUUCUCCCCGAAAGCUAUUUAGGUAGCGCCUCGUGAAUUCAUCUCCGGGGGUAGAGCACUGUUUCGGCAAGGGGGUCAUCCCGACUUACCAACCCGAUGCAAACUGCGAAUACCGGAGAAUGUUAUCACGGGAGACACACGGCGGGUGCUAACGUCCGUCGUGAAGAGGGAAACAACCCAGACCGCCAGCUAAGGUCCCAAAGUCAUGGUUAAGUGGGAAACGAUGUGGGAAGGCCCAGACAGCCAGGAUGUUGGCUUAGAAGCAGCCAUCAUUUAAAGAAAGCGUAAUAGCUCACUGGUCGAGUCGGCCUGCGCGGAAGAUGUAACGGGGCUAAACCAUGCACCGAAGCUGCGGCAGCGACGCUUAUGCGUUGUUGGGUAGGGGAGCGUUCUGUAAGCCUGCGAAGGUGUGCUGUGAGGCAUGCUGGAGGUAUCAGAAGUGCGAAUGCUGACAUAAGUAACGAUAAAGCGGGUGAAAAGCCCGCUCGCCGGAAGACCAAGGGUUCCUGUCCAACGUUAAUCGGGGCAGGGUGAGUCGACCCCUAAGGCGAGGCCGAAAGGCGUAGUCGAUGGGAAACAGGUUAAUAUUCCUGUACUUGGUGUUACUGCGAAGGGGGGACGGAGAAGGCUAUGUUGGCCGGGCGACGGUUGUCCCGGUUUAAGCGUGUAGGCUGGUUUUCCAGGCAAAUCCGGAAAAUCAAGGCUGAGGCGUGAUGACGAGGCACUACGGUGCUGAAGCAACAAAUGCCCUGCUUCCAGGAAAAGCCUCUAAGCAUCAGGUAACAUCAAAUCGUACCCCAAACCGACACAGGUGGUCAGGUAGAGAAUACCAAGGCGCUUGAGAGAACUCGGGUGAAGGAACUAGGCAAAAUGGUGCCGUAACUUCGGGAGAAGGCACGCUGAUAUGUAGGUGAAGUCCCUCGCGGAUGGAGCUGAAAUCAGUCGAAGAUACCAGCUGGCUGCAACUGUUUAUUAAAAACACAGCACUGUGCAAACACGAAAGUGGACGUAUACGGUGUGACGCCUGCCCGGUGCCGGAAGGUUAAUUGAUGGGGUUAGCGCAAGCGAAGCUCUUGAUCGAAGCCCCGGUAAACGGCGGCCGUAACUAUAACGGUCCUAAGGUAGCGAAAUUCCUUGUCGGGUAAGUUCCGACCUGCACGAAUGGCGUAAUGAUGGCCAGGCUGUCUCCACCCGAGACUCAGUGAAAUUGAACUCGCUGUGAAGAUGCAGUGUACCCGCGGCAAGACGGAAAGACCCCGUGAACCUUUACUAUAGCUUGACACUGAACAUUGAGCCUUGAUGUGUAGGAUAGGUGGGAGGCUUUGAAGUGUGGACGCCAGUCUGCAUGGAGCCGACCUUGAAAUACCACCCUUUAAUGUUUGAUGUUCUAACGUGGACCCGUAAUCCGGGUUGCGGACAGUGUCUGGUGGGUAGUUUGACUGGGGCGGUCUCCUCCUAAAGAGUAACGGAGGAGCACGAAGGUUGGCUAAUCCUGGUCGGACAUCAGGAGGUUAGUGCAAUGGCAUAAGCCAGCUUGACUGCGAGCGUGACGGCGCGAGCAGGUGCGAAAGCAGGUCAUAGUGAUCCGGUGGUUCUGAAUGGAAGGGCCAUCGCUCAACGGAUAAAAGGUACUCCGGGGAUAACAGGCUGAUACCGCCCAAGAGUUCAUAUCGACGGCGGUGUUUGGCACCUCGAUGUCGGCUCAUCACAUCCUGGGGCUGAAGUAGGUCCCAAGGGUAUGGCUGUUCGCCAUUUAAAGUGGUACGCGAGCUGGGUUUAGAACGUCGUGAGACAGUUCGGUCCCUAUCUGCCGUGGGCGCUGGAGAACUGAGGGGGGCUGCUCCUAGUACGAGAGGACCGGAGUGGACGCAUCACUGGUGUUCGGGUUGUCAUGCCAAUGGCACUGCCCGGUAGCUAAAUGCGGAAGAGAUAAGUGCUGAAAGCAUCUAAGCACGAAACUUGCC